rnacentral:rRNA from 1 species
CCUACGGGUGGCAGCAGUGAGGAAUAUUGGUCAAUGGGCGGGAGCCUGAACCAGCCAAGCCGCGUGAGGGAAGAAGGUACAGCGUAUCGUAAACCUCUUGUGUCAGGGAACAAAGGCGGGGAAUAGUCCCAGGAUGAGGGUACCUGAAGAAAAAGAAUCGGCUAACUCCGUGCCAGCAGCCGCGGAAAUACGGAGGAUGCGAGCGUUAUCCGGAUUGAGUGGGUGUAAAGGGUGCGCAGGCGGCCUGUUAAGUCAGCGGGAAAAGCCCGGGGCUCAACCCCGGAGAGCCGUUGAAACUGGCGGGCUCGAGUUGGAGAGAAGUACGCGGAAUGCGCGGUGUAGCGGUGAAAUGCUUAGAUAUCGCGUAGAACCCCGAUUGCGAAGGCAGCGUACCGGCUCCACACUGACGCUGAGGCACGAAAGCGUGGGUAUCGAACAGGAUUAGAUACCCCUGUAGUC